rnacentral:rRNA from 1 species
GAUGAACGCUGGCGGCGUGCCUAAUACAUGCAAGUCGAGCGAAUGGAUUAAGAGCUUGCUCUUAUGAAGUUAGCGGCGGACGGGUGAGUAACACGUGGGUAACCUGCCCAUAAGACUGGGAUAACUCCGGGAAACCGGGGCUAAUACCGGAUAACAUUUUGAACCGCAUGGUUCGAAAUUGAAUGGAGGCUUCGGCUGUCACUUAUGGAUGGACCCGCGUCGCAUUAGCUCGUUGGGGAGGUAACGGCUCACCAAGGCAACGAUGCGUAGCCGAACUGAGAGGGUGAUCGGCCACACUGGGACUGAGACACGGCCCAGACUCCUACGGGAGGCAGCAGUAGGGAAUCUUCCGCAAUGGACGAAAGUCUGACGGAGCAACGCCGCGUGAGUGAUGAAGGCUUUCGGGUCGUAAAACUCUGUUGUUGGGGAAGAACAAGUGCUAGUUGAAUAAGCUGGCACCUUGACGGUACCUAACCAGAAAGCCACGGCUAACUACGUGCCAGCCGCCGCGGUAA